UUCAUUUUGCAAUAUUUGUUUUAAAAAUCAAAACUACAUGAGCAAGUUAUUGCAAUUAAGAUACAGGGUAUGAAACGUGCAGUCAUGAAGGAGUGAUUUUGUUUGUGUUGCAUUGUUUUCUUUUUUGCUUCAAGGGGUAUUUAUUUCCCUUUCUUUCUUAUUUUUGAUUUUGCUAUUAGUCUGUUCAUCCAUUAUAUUUAAAAAUAUAUACGCUUUCAAUUUAUAACAUACUUUAUUCAGUUGAUAUCUAAUUCAUAGAUUUUUUUCUCUUUCAGUCCUCAUUCAAAUUCAAAUUCAAAGAACCCAGUGCUGUUCAUGAGCCAUUUAAGCAGAGGUUUAAACAUCAGUAAAAUGAUGGUUAUGGCAGUCUUUGACAUCCACGUGAUGAUACAAGAGUGAACUGGAGUUUCCUAUUUAUUUCUCAGAAUUUGCUGAUCUUCCCUAUUACACUGUGCACUUUGUAUUCUUCCCUGCUUGAAUAAAAAGUUAAAAUCA